rnacentral:lncRNA from 1 species
CCUCUACUAACUGAGAUGUACGUUGGGACAAGACCCACGACAUCUUAAUAAACAAAACUGAAAUGUAAGCUCAAUGUGAAACCCUUCGGAAAGUGAGGAGACUCACCAAAUCUUAGUUGGAACACGAAUGGAUCAACGGACCGCCAGUUGCUGCUCCUGAUUACCUAUAUCUGCAUCAUAAAACGAAGCAGACCAAAUGACAUCAGUACAUUGAAUGUACGAGCAUGUAAGGGGAACACUGAACAUAACAUAACAACUUGAACAUUGAAAGAAGGAAACAUACUCACCUCAACUCAACUCAACCUCAACUCAUGGAUACUUAACUCAAUACAAUAUAAAAGCAACAAUAAAGAUGUAGUUUAUAUAAAACAUUUAAAAACAGUAUACAACAACUCAAUGUAUUUAAAAAUACAAUAAUAAUAUUAUGUCUUUUAGUGUAGUUUUAUGUGUCAUCUAAUUUAUCAACUAUAUUAUUUGCAAUUGUAAGCUUCCGCAUGAUGCUCUAAUCACUUUCGAACCCAACAGUUCUUCCUUCAGAUUCCAUAACAACACCAAAAGCACAUAGAUUCCAUCAAUAAAACAUGAAGAGUAAAAUCAAAUAUGAACAAUUCUUAUUCCUAACACACUAAACUAAAAUGAAAAAAAAUUUAGAAAGCUAAAGACAACUUCAGAGGUUAUUUCGCAGGAUUGAACUGUGUAAAAUGAUGGUCUCCAAGAAGAAACUAAGGUUAAUUCAGAAAUUUUCUUUCCUCAAUUUUCAACUAUGUCAAAUGAAUAUAUUCUAAAAUUUCAAGGAACAGAAGAUUUGAGAAUGAAAAAAAAAAACACUUUAAAGUACACAUGUUCAAAGGAGAAGGAUAAAAAAAUCAAUACAAACCAUCAAUGUAGGAAAAAAAAGGGGUAAAAUUGAGAAUUUUCAAUUUAAUACAACUAACAAAGUUUCUUGUACAACUCUAAAAUGUAGUGUUAGUAUACCCACACUCUCAUUUCUAAAUAAGAAGUAAUAAAUAAUAAAUAGAUUCUAUGUAUAGUUAAAUAGCUACUCCCUCCGUUCCAUUUUAUAUGAGGUACUUUGACUCGGCACGGAGUUUAAGAAAGAAAUGAAUACUUUUAAAAUUUGUGAUCCAAAAUGAAUGAUAGAAAUUUAUGUGACUGUAAAUCAUUUCAUUAAUAAAAUAGACAUUUUAUAGUUAAAUUGUUACUUUAUAUAGAAAUGUGUCAUUGAAAGUAAAUUACAUAAAUUAAGACACAGGGAGUAUAUCUUUUAGUAGAAUAGGUAGAUAGAUUUUCUAUUGCUUCAUUAGAUAUUUUGGGUCAACGAUAAAUUGAUUAGCAUUUAGUAAUUGAUAUAUCAGGACCAAAUCAAUCUACUCUACUCCUUAAUACUAUUUCGGUCAUUUUCUUAGUUAGCAACCCGUUUCCCGAAAAAAAUAUAAUAAGCCACAAAACUAAUUUUUAAUACUCUUUUCAAUAAAUCUCUGUUAAGUACUUUAUAUAUGUCAAGACGAAAAUGAAUAAUGUUUAGAUUGUAGAAUGCAAGCUUUUGUGUGUGCUACAAUGAGCAGACCUUUUACUACCGCCGCCUUGGUAGUUCCGGUCACCCACUCUCUUCUUCCUCGUCAUCUCCG